rnacentral:lncRNA from 1 species
GGGCUAUGGAGCAGCUACUACACAGUCCUUCCUCCAGUGAAGCUGGUAUGGCUUUCUGGACAUCCCAGGCAAGAGGAAAGGAGGUUGCACCAUGGAGCUCAAACUGCAGUGUCUGCCCCUUCCUCCUGGGCCUCAUUUAGCAUUUCAAGAUUGAGAAUGCCUCCUAAUGAGAUUUCCAGAUUCCAAGCUUUUGCAAGACCAACAGGAAAAUGAGAUGAGUGAGUUUUACAAAGCCUUGUCUGCCUUCUCCAUAGAAGAAAGCUCUCGUUCCAGGGA